rnacentral:rRNA from 1 species
AGAGUUUGAUCCUGGCUCAGGAUGAACGCUAGCGGCAGGCCUAAUACAUGCAAGUCGAACGGUAAGUGUAGUAGCAAUAUUAUACGAGAGUGACGUACGGGUGCGUAACACGUAUGCAACCUACCCUUUACAGGAGGAUAGCUCGGGGAAACUCGAAUUAACCCUCCAUGAUAUAAUGAUGUGGCAUCACGUUAUUAUUAAAACUCUGGUGGUAAAGGAUGGGCAUGCGUCUGAUUAGUUAGUUGGUGCGGGUAACGGCCCACCAAGACGAUGAUCAGUAGGGGAACUGAGAGGUUGAUCCCCCACACUGGCACUGAGAUACGGGCCAGACUCCUACGGGAGGCAGCAGUAGGGAAUAUUGGUCAAUGGAUGGAAGUCUGAACCAGCCAUGCCGCGUGCAGGAAGAAGGCCUUCUGGGUUGUAAACUGCUUUUGCCAGGGGAUAAAAAGACCGUGCGCGGUUAAUUGAAGGUACCUGGUGAAUAAGCCACGGCUAACUACGUGCCAGCAGCCGCGGUAAUACGUAGGUGGCAAGCGUUGUCCGGAUUUAUUGGGUUUAAAGGGUGCGUAGGCGGCCCUGUAAGUCAGUGGUGAAAUAUCUCAGCUUAACUGAGAGGGUGCCAUUGAUACUGCGGGGCUUGAGUACAGAUGAGGUAGGCGGAAUUGACGGUGUAGCGGUGAAAUGCAUAGAUAUCGUCAAGAACACCGAUAGCGAAGGCAGCUUACUAAGCUGUAACUGACGCUGAGGCACGAAAGUGUGGGGAUCAAACAGAAUUAGAUACCCUGGUAGUCC